rnacentral:rRNA from 2 species
GGGGAAUAUUGCACAAUGGGCGCAAGCCUGAUGCAGCGACGCCGCGUGAGCGAAGAAGGUUUUCGGAUCGUAAAGCUCUGUCCUUUGGGAAGAAGAAAAUGACGGUACCAAAGGAGGAAGCCCCGGCUAACUACGUGCCAGCAGCCGCGGUAAUACGUAGGGGGCAAGCGUUGUCCGGAUUUAUUGGGCGUAAAGGGUGCGUAGGCGGCCUUUUAAGUCAGAUGUGAAAGGUCACGGCUCAACCGUGGUAAGCAUUUGAAACUGGAAGGCUUGAGUUAAGGAGAGGAAAGUGGAAUUCCUAGUGUAGCGGUGAAAUGCGUAGAUAUUAGGAGGAAUACCAGUGGCGAAGGCGACUUUCUGGACUUAUACUGACGCUGAUGCACGAAAGCGUGGGGAGCGAACA